rnacentral:lncRNA from 1 species
AAAAUGUCCGCAUGAAAAGAUGUUUUGCCAAAGAUCGUAGGCUUCUAGAUGGGGGCUCUGCCUGAAAGGUGGGCGAGAGUUUAUCCUUCAGGGCAGCUGGGUAGAUCUGCAUUAAUGAAUCCACAGGCUGGUGCUUGUCCUGAACACCAAGGUCCUCAGGCGGAGCUUAUAAUUUAGUAGACACAUAAGCCACAAACAGAAGCCAGCUCUGUGUCAGGCCCCAUGAGAAGUCCGCAGGUGCGAUCUUCAAUUUGGAGACUACAGGAAGGAUGGCUGGGGAGGCCUCAGGAAACUUACAGUCACAGCGGAAGGCAAAGAGGAAGCAGGCAGCGGCUUCGUGGCAGGAGCAGGAGGAAGGCGGUGGGGAGGUGCUACAUACUUUUAAACAACUGGAUCUUGUGAGAACUCACUAUCACGAGAACAGCAAGGGGGAAUUCUGCGCCCUGAUCCAGUCACCUCCCACCAGGCUCCUCCUCCAACAGUGGGGAUUACAAUUCGACAUGAGAUUUGAGUGGGGACACAGAUCCAAACCAUAUCAGUGUCAUUAAAAAAAUAGUUGCCCUGCUAACUUUUUUAAUCCCCUGUAACUCUAAAUAAAAUAAUGAUGUGAACAUAACACAUUUAGAGUCCCUGGUUCAUUUCCUGGCUGUAUUAGUCUGUUUUCACACUGGUAUAAAGAUACUACCUGAGACUGGGUAAUUCAGGAAGGAAAGAAGUUUAAUUGAUUCACAGUUC